GGGCUAGGGUUUUGUGCAUGAGAGAAAAGGAGCGUAGGAUUUUUUUAUUUUGGCAUGUAAUAAAAGGAAGAGAGGGGGUACAGUUUGUGUAUGAAAGAAAGAAGAAGGAAGCAUGGGAUAUGGGGUGCACCUAAGAAGUUUCACCGUAAGAUGAAUAAGGGGUGACAACUAGGGUUUCAUGAAAAAAGAGGUGGGAGCAUGAGUAAGGACC
rnacentral:lncRNA from 1 species